ensembl:misc_RNA Metazoa_SRP Metazoan signal recognition particle RNA
GCCAGGUGUGGUGGCACACACCUGUAGUCCCAGCUACUGGGGAGGCUGAGGCAGGAGGAUUGCUUGAGCCCAGGAAGUCAAGGCUGCAGUGAGCCAAGUGAUUGUGCCACUGCACUCCAGCCUGGGUGACAAAGCAAGAUCCUGUCUCAA